rnacentral:rRNA from 1 species
UACGGAGGGUGCAAGGCGUUAUCCGGAUUCACUGGGUUUAAAGGGUGCGUAGGUGGGCAAGUAAGUCAGUGGUGAAAUCUCCGGGCUUAACCCGGAAACUGCCAUUGAUACUAUUUGUCUUGAAUACUGUGGAGGUCAGCGGAAUAUGUCAUGUAGCGGUGAAAUGCUUAGAUAUGACAUAGAACACCAAUUGCGAAGGCAGCUGGCUACACAAAUAUUGACACUGAGGCACGAAAGCGUGGGGAUCAAACAGG